AAGGUCGACGAUGAAGAGCUCAUCUCCUAUUUCAUUGCUGGCUCGAUGACAACUUCGAGCCGAUCAUCUCAUCCAUUGUCAGUAAAACCGAACCGAUGACCGUGGGAGAGGCAUACUCCUAGCGGCUCAAUUUUGAGU
rnacentral:snoRNA from 1 species